CAGAUACAAACGAGUACCUGGUUAUAGUUUAACCCCAACUGCCUUUUCAGGCCUCUCCUUAGCAGCAGAAGUUCCUUGAGGAGCAGUGCCACCUUUCCAUGAAGCAUCUUAUGUCAGAUGUCAAGAACUGAGCAAAUGAAUAAAUAUACUGAAGAUAAUGGGAGCCAGUUCUUGCUGUUGGAGAAGAGAGUUACAAAUAUAAAGAGAAGGAAGACUAAAAUCAAAUUUACAGUAUUGGGAUCCCUGGGUGGCACAGCGGUUUAGCGCCUGCCUUUGGCCCAGGGCGCGAUCCUGGAGACCCGGGAUCGAAUCCCACGUCGGGCUCCCGGUGCAUGGAGCCUGCUUCUCCC